rnacentral:lncRNA from 1 species
GGCUAAGUGUGCUCUGAGCAUGCCUCAUCGGCUCCUGCAGCUACCUCGACUUUAGCAACAAGAGAAAAACCUCCCAGCCUUAUGCUGACAUUAGAUUUUGCUAUGCCUGAUGAGUAAUAAAGAGCCUUUCUCAGAAGAAGAAAGGGUUCUGGGCUGUUCCCAGCAUGGGGAAGUUUGAAUUCAGAGGGUUGAGGACCUGAUAACAUCACAGGGUAGAAGACACGCAGAGAGUUUCCAUGACCUUAUCCCCUGUGUGAUCUUGUCCAGUGUGACGCCUGCCAGGAGGAGGAUGCAGAAUAGGAUGGAAAUCAUAACACUGAGAUGGAAGAGUGAGAAAAAAAACCAGCAGCACAAAAUUGAAACUACAGGCAAGUAGAACGAGCAGCAGGAUUAAGACCUGUGCAGUACUUCAGUUGAUGACUUUCAUCUCAGCUUGAUCUGGUAUGCUGGAAAGCUUACCACAGCAGAACCCAAUUAAUAUAUGAAGUAUGUAAAAGAUAAUCUCACAUUUGAUUCCUGUUAGACUUAGAAGAUAGACACAACUGUU